rnacentral:tRNA from 1 species
GGGAGAAUACCAGAGUGGCCAAAUGGGGCAGACUGUAAAUCUGCUGGCGUACGCCUACGGUGGUUCGAAUCCAUCUUCUCCCA